CCGCUGAACUUAAGCAUAUCAAUAAGCGGAGGAAAAGAAACCAACAGGGAUUGCCCUAGUAACGGCGAGUGAAGCGGCAACAGCUCAAAUUUGAAACCUGGCGCUUGCGUCCGGAUUGUAAUUUGUAGAGGAUGCUUCUGGGCAGCGGCCGUUCUAAGUUCCUUGGAACAGGACGUCAUAGAGGGUGAGAAUCCCGUAUGUGACCGGCGCGCACCCUCCACGUAGCUCCUUCGACGAGUCGAGUUGUUUGGGAAUGCAGCUCUAAAUGGGAGGUAAAUUUCUUCUAAAGCUAAAUAUUGGCCAGAGACCGAUAGCGCACAAGUAGAGUGAUCGAAAGAUGAAAAGCACUUUGGAAAGAGAGUUAAAAAGCACGUGAAAUUGUUGAAAGGGAAGCGCUUCCAACCAGACUCCGCGGCGGUGUUCCGCCGGUCUUCUGACCGGUCCACUCGCCGCCGUGGGGCCAACAUCGUCUGGGGCCGCCGGAUAAGACCGGAGGAAUGUAGCUCAUUGAGUGUUAUAGCCUCCGGUGAUGCGGCGCGUCCCGGGCGAGGUCCGCGCUUCGGCAAGGAUGUUGGCGUAAUGGUUGGCAGCGGCCCGUCUUGAAACACGGACCAAGGAGUCUAACAUCUAUGCGAGUGUUCGGGUGUCAAACCCCUACGCGUAAUGAAAGUGAACGGAGGUGGGAGCUUCGGCGCACCAUCGACCGAUCCUGAUGUCCUCGGAUGGAUUUGAGUAAGAGCAUAGCUGUUGGGACCCGAAAGAUGGUGAACUAUGCCUGAAUAGGGUGAAGCCAGAGGAAACUCUGGUGGAGGCUCGCAGCGGUUCUGACGUGCAAAUCGAUCGUCAAAUUUGGGUAUAGGGGCGAAAGACUAAUCGAACCAUCUAGUAGCUGGUUCCUGCCGA
rnacentral:rRNA from 2 species